GUGACAUUCUGUCUCGUCUUUACCUCUAUGUAUAUAAAUUCUUUUCUGCAGUAAUGUAAGGAAUCAACAGAGCUUUCAAGGUGUCAGGACCAUUUUUUUACCAUUGUUUUCAUAGUCAGUGGCAACAUGAAUUCAGCAGCCAAUGUGUCUUAUAGUACUGGCCUUUUAAUUUGUUGCUGACAUUUCAGGACACAUUGUCAUUGCUCGAUCAGGUUAGAUUAGAACAGCAAAAGAUGGUUCUUUCAAAGUGGAGCAUGAAGUUUUGGUAUUUAACUCAAUUCAGAAAUCAGAAUCGGUAAGGUGUUAAUGUGGUGGAUUUAACAAUUCGAAAAGACUUCCAUCUUUAUAAGGCGCACUUCUCAAAUUUCUUGUUCGGAGUUGGUUGAUUUUAGCAGACUCUUAAUAAAUUGUUUUUGUAAAGUUCUUUAUGUCCAUUGUUUUUGGGUGCAAACUUGCUCAAAAUUCUCCAGAGAUUACGAGGGGUUUUGAUAUCCAGUUCUACCCAUGCUACAUUGAGCUACAGCUGCUAACUAGAAAAGCUGUGUGAACGGUACUUGGAACUUCACUGGUUGGAUUGUAAUAUUGAGCUUGUUCAUGUCAAACGGGUUGCUUGAUGUAGUGCUAGUUUACUGCGAUCUUUGGGCUUGCUAACUAUUUAAAUCAAAUUAUGGAGUCUGAAACUCCGUCUAGAGAAUAUAGGCAGCCCAGCAUGCUUCAGCGAGUACUUUCUGCUUCUGUGCCAAUGCUGCCGAUUGCACUUGGGUAUGUUGUUCCUGGGAAAUGAGUUGCAAUGGUUGAUGGAGGAGUUUUUGGGUUUGAUUUGGUCAUGCUAGUACUCUUGUUCAAUUUUGCUGUCAUUCUGUGCCAGUAUCUGUCUGCUUGUAUAGCCUUAGUUACAGACCGAGAUCUUGUGCAGAUUUGCAGUGAAGAAUAUGACAAAGUUACAUGCAUAUUCCUAGGAAUUCAAGCUGAGGUUUCGAUGACUGCUUUGGGACCUCACAAAAGUUUUGGGCACUGCAGAUGUUGUGUGUGGAAUUGACCUGUUUAGCUGUGUUUUCCUGACUGCAACCAGUGCCAUUUUGUUUCCACUGCUUGCUUAUCUCUUUGACAAUGGCAGUUCAAAAUUGUUAUGUAUUGGCUGGGCAAGCUCUGUACUGCUCUCUUAUGUUUUUGGAGUGGUCAUAACGUAAUCUGAAACUCCAUUCUCCAUUGGUAGUAUGCUGAAUAAGUUUAGUGGAGAUAGUGCAUUUGCACUGAUGAGUCUUCUUGGAGCAAGUAUUAUGCCUCAGAAUUUUUACCUCCAUUCUUCUAUUGUACAGGUGUCCUCUCUCUCUAUGUGUGUGUGUGUUUUUGCAUGUGUGCUCAUAAAUAUUGAUCUGUGCUUGCAGAACGGAGGCAGCCUGUAACUUAUAAAACAGUCUGUCACUGGACAGAUUGUUAAGAUAAUUAUUGGUAUGCUAGAUUGGGCCCUGAUAACUCAAGGCUAAAUGUUUGUUCAGUCUAUUUUGUUGUUCCAGCCAGUCAUGUGUGAAUACUUAUACUGCUUUCUUAUAUUCUGUAGCUCUUUAACUCUAGACUAUACAUAGUCAUGUGAGGUCCUUUCUAGAUAUAUUGGUUGUGGCUUGUUCCCAAGUCCUAACUUGUACCAUGUAAUGGGCCUAGCUUAUCUACUUAUAUACUCUUUGCAUCUU